UACGUAGGGGGCUAGCGUUGUCCGGAAUCAUUGGGCGUAAAGCGCGUGUAGGCGGUCCGGUAAGUCCGCUGUGAAAGUCGAGGGCUCAACCCUCGAAUGCCGGUGGAUACUGUCGGGCUAGAGUACGGAAGAGGCGAGUGGAAUUCCUGGUGUAGCGGUGAAAUGCGCAGAUAUCAGGAGGAACACCAAUUGCGAAGGCGAAUCUCUGGACAGUUACUGACACUGAGGCACGAAGGCCAGGGGAGCAAACGGG
rnacentral:rRNA from 1 species